GGAAUAUUGCACAAUGGAGGAAACUCUGAUGCAGCGAUGCCGCGUGAGCGAAGAAGGCCUUUUGGUUGUAAAGCUCUGUUAUCAGGGACGAAAAUGACGGUACCUGAGGAGGAAGCUCCGGCUAACUACGUGCCAGCAGCCGCGGUAAUACGUAGGGAGCGAGCGUUGUCCGGAAUUACUGGGUGUAAAGGGAGCGUAGGCGGGACUGCAAGUCAGGUGUGAAACCUAUGGGCUUAACCCAUAGACUGCACUUGAAACUGUGGUUCUUGAGUGAAGCAGAGGCAGGCGGAAUUCCUAGUGUAGCGGUGAAAUGCGUAGAUAUUAGGAGGAACACCAGUGGCGAAGGCGGCCUGCUGGGCUUAAACUGACGCUGAGGCUCGAAAGCGUGGGGAGCAAACA
rnacentral:rRNA from 1 species